rnacentral:rRNA from 1 species
GACGAACGCUGGCGGCGUGCUUAACACAUGCAAGUCGAACGGUAAGGCCCUUCGGGGUACACGAGUGGCGAACGGGUGAGUAACACGUGGGUGAUCUGCCCUGCACUUCGGGAUAGGCCUGGGAAACUGGGUCUAAUACCGGAUAGGACCACUGCCUGCAUGGGUGGUGGUGGAAAGCUUUUGCGGUGUGGGAUGGGCCCGCGGCCUAUCAGCUUGUGGGUGGGGUGAUGGCCUACCAAGGCGACGACGGGUAGCCGGCCUGAGAGGGUGACCGGCCACACUGGGACUGAGAUACGGCCCAGACUCCUACGGGGGGCAGCAGUGGGGAAUAUUGCACAAUGGGCGCAAGCCUGAUGCAGCGACGCCGCGUGAGGGAUGACGGCCUUCGGGUUGUAAACCUCUUUCAGCACCGACGAAGCGCAAGUGACGGUAGGUGCAGAAGAAGGACCGGCCAACUACGUGCCAGCAGCCGCAGUAA